rnacentral:lncRNA from 1 species
UUGGUACAUUUUUAAUAGAAUAUAUAAGACGUGGUGGUUGCUAUGUGUAUCCAAAUGGUUCAUGGGGAUUAUUUCAAUAUGUUUGGUGGAGACGAGAUUGGUCCGAGGCUCCUACUCCAAUAAAAUUUGCGCAUCUCCUUUACCUUACAAUGAAUUUUAUGACUUUUGGAAUUUUGUUUGUACAAAUGUUCGAUACUAAAGGGUGGU